AGGAUAAACGCUGGCGGCGUGCCUAACACAUGCAAGUCGAACGUCCUACGCGCAAGCGUAGGGAGUGGCGGACGGGUGAGUAACACGUGGGCAAUCUACCUUUCGGUGAGGAAUACCGGCGAGAAAUCGCCGACAAGACCGCAUACGCUCGGGCAACCGAGCAAAGUCGCAAGACGCCGGAGGAGGAGCCUGCGCCCGAUUAGCUAGUUGGUGAGGUAAGAGCUUACCAAGGCGACGAUCGGUAGCUGGUCUGAGAGGAUGAUCAGCCACACUGGGAUUGAGAACGGCCCAGACUCCUACGGGGGGCAGCAGUGAGGAAUUUUCGUCAAUGGGGGCAACCCUGAACGAGCAACGCCGCGCGCAGGAUGACGCUUUUCGGAGUGUAAACUGCUUUUCUCGGGGAAGAGCAAGGACGGUACCCGAGGAAUCAGCCCCGGCUAACUACGUGCCAGCAGCCGC
rnacentral:rRNA from 1 species